GACGAACGCUGGCGGCGUGCUUAACACAUGCAAGUCGAACGGAAAGGCCCUGCUUUUGUGGGGUGCUCGAGAGGCGAACGGGUGAGUAACACGUGAGUAACCUGCCCUUGACUUUGGGAUAACUUCAGGAAACUGGGGCUAAUACCGGAUAGGAGCUCCUGCUGCAUGGUGGGGGUUGGAAAGUUUCGGCGGUUGGGGAUGGACUCGCGGCUUAUCAGCUUGUUGGUGGGGUAGUGGCUUACCAAGGCUUUGACGGGUAGCCGGCCUGAGAGGGUGACCGGCCACAUUGGGCCUGCGAUACGGCCCAGACUCCUACGGGACGCAGCAGUGGGGAAUAUUGCACAAUGGGCGGAAGCCUGAUGCAGCAACGCCGCGUGCGGGAUGACGGCCUUCGGGUUGUAAACCGCUUUCGCCUGUGACGAAGCGUGAGUGGCGGUAAUGGGUAAAGAAGCACCGGCUAACUACGUG
rnacentral:rRNA from 1 species